GAAAGAAAGAAAGAAAGAAAAUACUAGAAAGGAACAGACUUCACGCCAUGUAUCAUGCACAACAGAAGAAAAAAGUCUAAUUAGACAAGAAAAGGAAAAUAGAGAAAAUUAAAUUCUAUGAUAUUUUCAUCAAGAAAUAUCAUUACUUUCAUGCUUUAACUCAACAUAGGAUUGUCCGAACAUCCAUUUGUAUUGGUGAUU
rnacentral:misc_RNA from 1 species